GCAAAACCAAAAUUGAGUGGGUCAGUAAAACAAUUCUUUUCCAAAUUCAACAUUUCUCAAAACGUUGUAACCCCUCUCCGUAAAACCUGUAUACUUUCCCAGAAAUGUAAAAUAUAAAUAUACAUAUAUAUUCUCAAUACUUCAAUUCAUUAACUCAACAUUUUUUUUUUAUCAAUCAUGCCAUGCCAUGUCUAAAUUCAACAGUAUAAUAUGAAUGCAUCAACAUAAAUCAGGUGAAAGAAAAUAAUCAACCGGAGACCCUACAAUGGUCCUGUACGGUUGAAUCUAGAGCUCAAAAUAUCAUCUAACCGGAGUCACCAACUGUGACCUGUACGGCCAUGCCGGAGUCACCUAGUAUGACCUGUACGGCACUAAGUCGGAAUUACAUGUAAUCUCGUACGACUUCUAAUGUAAUCUGUAAAUUAAUGGUCUAGUGCUUUUCUCAUCAAUCAUCUGUGCACAUAAUCUAAGGUCACCUACCAGUCGGAACCCUCUAACGGUGCACGUUUAUGAUCAACAUCAUCAUGGCAUUCUGUCGUCCACCGCACAUUUCAAUAUAUGCAUCUACAUUCAUAAUAUUCAUGAAAUUCAUGCAAUGGCAUAAACUAUACCAAUCAAUUCAUAGCUCAAAUAUCAUUCAACAAAAAUUCACCUGUGCGUCCACCGCACCAUUUCACAUAUAUGCAUCAUACAACAAUUCAUAAUAUUCAUGAAAUUCUAUGCAUGGCAACCAACUAUAUUCCAUAUCACAAUUCAACAUACUUUUCAUUUAAAGCAUAAUUUCAUGCAUUUUCAAUUUCUGGGAAAACGGCAAGUAUAUAUGUAUACGGAAAACAAAACUGCCCACUCACCUGGAGUUCGCCCUACAACUCCCUAGCACAAUACGCCAAGGCGUCAUGACGAUCGCCGCCUAGAACAGUAAUCAAAUCCAACCUCAGAAUUCAUAUCGAUAGAAUAUAACUUAUAUAAAAUACGUCACUACGUAGUUCGAUCCAGAAGAUCUGCAACUCAGAUUUUAAAUCCAUAACUUCUAGAGGUCCACAAUAUAUCUCUAGGAUAACCUCCUAAAAUUUCAUUACCAUCCAACGGUCGGAUCUCCGUCAAUUUCCAAAACUAAGUGACGGUUAACAUUUUAUUUUAUGAACUUACAACUUCAAUUCCGGAAGAUCCGUAAAUCGGAUUCCCAAUCCGUAAGUUCCUAUAAUCCUCAAAUAUUACGUAUUACAACGUAUCAAAGUUUGAUGACGAUUGAUGACGAUCCAACGGUCGGAUCGUCAAUUCACAUUUUCACCUAACCCCGAAUCGUAACCAACUUAGGUUCAAUUAUUCAAUUUACGUCCAUCAAUUAUCAAAACAGAACCUAGAACCUUAAUCACAAUCUAAUAAUGACAUUGGCGGCCAUUGGCCACGCGCCGCCGCGGGUGGCGGUUGGCCGCCCCCGGCUCGCCGGAAAAUUCAACUAUUUCCAAAAAUUACCAAAAUUUGCAGAUUUGAAGAUCUCAAUGAGUUCAACUUUCCAUACCUGAGACCAAGGCCAAUUUGGCCUGGAAGUGCUUCAAUUUCAUUUCACCAAAACCGUGAAGAACCCUAGAAUUUGGGUGUUUCCCAAUUCGACCUUCAAACUUGUUCCAACGCCUCAAUUACCUCUUGGGGCUUUGUUCUUAGGUCCUAAAGGAAUGCUAAAGGUGUUAGUAAUUGAAAGAAAACAUUUCAAAAUUUGGAGAAUUUGAACAAAAGGGUCGCGGCACCCGUAUGGGUGUUCUUCGCGAAAUCACAACAAAAUUCAAUGAUUCUUGGGGUAAAACGUAAGAGGGAAGGCCUAGAUGUUGAUUGGGAGUGGUACCUUGAUCCAAUUCGCUGGAAAAAUGAAGAAAAUUUCGACGAAAAUGGGUGGAAAAACCCACCGGUCGCGGGUUGUGACCCAUUUCUGUUUCUGUUCUUCUUCCUCCGCUUCUCGCCUUCUCUCCUUUCCUCCUUUCCUGGUUCCUGUUCCUGGCCAGCCCUUCCUCUCUCUUCUUUUCCUGAUUUUUCCUGGACCUUCCUUCCUUCUUUCCCUUCUCUUCUCUCUUCUUCUUCCAGUCCAUUUCCUAAAAACCUUCUUUUCUUCUUUCUUCGUACUUCACACACAUUAAAACCUCUUUAAAUUAUUUUCUUAUUUCUUCUUACAUCUAAGCCAUCCAUUUUCAAAAUCCUUAAAUCUGGGCCAUCCAUUUUAAUAAUUUUAAAAAUCUCAAAAAAUGUCCAAAACUUCUUCAACUUUAAAAUCUUUUUCAUUAUAACUCCAAAUAAUGAACUGUCUGCGCCCACACGUUCGUAGCGACGAGUACUACGAGGAUAUGUCAAGAAAACAAAUCUUGGAUGGCACGAAACAACGAUUAACCUCGAACAAUGUGCGUGCCUCAAAUGGCAUUUUUGUAAAAUUCUUUAUUAAAACUUUAAAAAUUCUUAAAAUUAGGGACGGGCUGUCACAAUCUACCCACCUUACAGAAAUUUCGUCCUCGAAAUUUACACAAUCUUUACAAUCCAUCAAUAUCCAUGAAACAGCCCGAAACACAUCUCUCUCAUUCGAUUCUUUGACUUCCAAGUAGCGUCUUCCACUGAAAGAUUCCUCCAUAAACUUUCACCAAACUCAUAGUCUUAUUUCUCAGUACAUCAUCUUUCUAAUACAAGAUGGGCACUGGCUCCUCAUCAUACGUCAAAUCCACAUUGACUUCCAAAGGUUGAGAAGGUAUCACUCGUGAAGGAUAUGAGGUUUAAUGUCGAAGUAUCGAAACAUAAAACAUAUCAUGCCCUUUCAUCGGCUCUGGAGGCAACUCAGCCUGUACGUAACUUCACUGACUCGUUCGAUGAUCAUAGAUGGUCUGACGUAUCUAGGACUUACUUGUUUUUCUUUUUAAAACGAAUCAUACUUUUCCAAGGUGAUAAUUUCAAAAUCAUUCGAUCACCUACAUAUACAUCCGGUCAGUGGCAUGUUUGUCUGCUAAGCUCUUCAGCCGAUCCUGGCCCACUUUCAGGUUAGACUUAAUUACUUGAAUAUUCUGAGUAGUCUCCUCCAUUAACUCAGGGUUUUAAAUACCAUCCGUCCACAAUUCUAACAAUUUGAAACACAAGACACAACUUUCCACGACCUUAUGGCGUUGCUCUCGGGGACAAACUGAAAGGACCAACAUAUCCAAGAAGUUCAACAAAUCUGUAAGUCUAAAUCUCUUUUCCAUAAGACAGAUAAAUAACUGUUGCACUUCUGGAAAGGUUACUGCUCUUUCAUCGAAGAACAUUGUGCUGAUUUAGUAAACCAAUCAAUUAUCACUUCAAAUUUCAUCAUAACCAUCUCGUAAACGAGGGAGCUUGCACACAUAAUCUAUAUUAAUAUUUUCUCAUUUUCACCGUGGAACGGGAAGUGACUACAUCAAUCCAAAAGACUUCUUUCUUUCCGUUAUUCCUUGCUUUAAAUAAAUUUCUUGAAUUUCUUCAUCAAACGUUUGAGUCUCGAGUACGACCUACCAAAUAGACCUAACUUGAAAAUUAGCAAGUACGUUUUCUUUUCGAUCUUCCAUUCCCAACUUUACUCCAGUAGGUCUCAAUCUACAAGAAGAUGAACAUGGCAAUCGUACCAAGCAUUAAUUCUCACUGGGUCUUCCUACUAUAAGCAUUGGCCAUAACAUUAGCUCGACUACCCUAGUCGUACAAUCAUAAUCACUAAGCAACUCAAUCCACCUUUGUUGCCUGAGAUUAAGAUACCUCUGAAUAAACAGAUAUUGGGUACUCUUCGAUUUGUAACAAUCGUGCACUUUUCUUCCGAUAAAGACAAAGUCUCCAAAUCUUCAAAGCAAAGAUGAUAGCUACUAAUUCCAAAUCAUAAUUAGGGUAAUUCAUCUCAUGAAGUUUUAAUUGCCGUAAAACAUAGGUAAUCACCCUAACAUGCUGCAUCAACGCGCAUUCAAGAACAUCCAACGUAGCCUCACUAUAAACCUUAUAAUUACCAUUAUCGUCUGGAAAUGCGAAAACAGAUGCAUGAGUGAGGGAAUACUUUACUUGCUGAAGCUCUACUCACAAUUUUUCAUCCCACUCAAACGUAAUCUCUUUUCUCAUCAAUCUCACCAAGGGCAAAGCAAUGAUUGAAAAAUCUUGGACGAACUAUCAGUAAUAACCUGCUAAGCCAAGAAAACUCUGAAUCUCAGUCACAGUUCGCAAUUGUUCCAAGUUCUCAAUCGUUGCUACUCUUUUAAGAAUCCACUUGAAUAUCUUAAGUAGAUAUAAUUAAUUUCAGAAUGCCACCUGAUUCAUCUAACUUUAGCCUUUGCUAAACUUAGCAUACAACCAACGUUCUCUCAAUCUUUGAAAGUACACAUGCACCUCUGAGCUGAUCAAAUAAACAUCAGUACACCACAAUGGAUAACGGUUCUCAAUCGUUACCCGAUUCCAUUAUCUAUAAUCAAUGCAUAGUCUUUAAAGUCCAUUUUCUUUCUCAUCAACGAACUGGUGCUCCUCAAAAAUGUUGUACUAGGUUAAAUAAAACUUUUAUCAACCAAUUCUCUCAACUGAAUAUUCCCUUAACUAAUCCUGAACCAAUCUUUAACAUAAAUUUAUACCUGGCAACAAUUCAAUAGUGAACCUCAUAUCUCUGCCUGAAGGCAAUCCAGGUAUACUUUCAAGGAAGACAUCAAGAAAAGUCUAACCCUUUUGACAUUAUUCACACUACUCCAAACAACAUCAUUUAGCACCACAUGAGCUAAGUAUUUUUUUUUUUGACAGCCUUUCGAAAACAAUCUCUUUGCUCUCACAGCAUAAAUAACGGCCUGACUCAAUCCACUUUGCAUACUUACAAAAGUAAUCUCUGGUCAUCCAGAUCGAUGGAAAGUGACUGGUUUCCCGUAACAAUCCAUUUAGUCACAAUUAUAACCAACCAAUCUAAUGAAAAUAAUUUAACCGACACAAUACAUACUUUAUUAAUACUGAACAUUCUAAAUAAGUACAACACUAACAUAAAAUAACCUACUGGUUUGCUUGCUUAACGAAUCCACGAAUGAGUUAUUAAUAUUACGGUCUGCAGCCCGCAAUACUGAUAAAUCAUCGUUGUCUCGAUAAGUAGGCAACAAUUCCCAAAGGUGUAAUACUAUCAUUUUGUUCUUCAUUAGAAUACACAUAUACGCCUCUAUCACGUUCCAACAUUACUUUCUUUGGCAUCAUCGUCCAUACUCAGAAAUAUAUCAGCCGGAGUCAACUAGAAUGACCUGUACGGCUGAUUCUCUAGCUCAACCAUCUAUGCUAGCACAUUAGUCGGAGUCACUUAUAGUGACCUGUGCGACUUACACAUCAAUUCCCCAGUAAAUACGUCGGCCGGAUCCACAUCUUGUGGUCUGUACAGCCGAGCCUAUAACUCACCAAUUUCUCAUGUGUCAGCCGGAUCCACCUCUGAUGGCCUGUACGACUGAACAUUUAACUCAUCCAACAUCCUUGUACCCACAGUCCAUAUGACCCAAACUAAUGAUCCAAACACCUGCUGGACUGAUACUGGUGGUAUCAGGGAAGACUGCUGGGUAAUAACUAAUUUUUAGGGACAAUUCACAAUUUUGUGUCUCCUCUGUUCACAUAAACACAUUCAUUAAUUUCACACUUCCCAAAGUGUUAAUUUUGUACCUGCUGCACAAAGGUACCUUUCCUUUAUUCAAAUCACCUUGUCUCUGAAAUCUGGGAUUACCAGCAAUUCUAUCACUUUGACUCUGACCAGUGGCAUUAAAACCUCAGCUGGAAAAAUUAGCUCUAACUUCACUUCUUUUGAAGCUCUGAGUCUUUCGAUAUUCUUGAUAUGACGAAUCAUUAACUUUAUCGUCUUCUUUUAAUUCCCAUUCUUUUCUUAUUCCUCUUCACUCUAGCUGAUCAUAUUCUUAGAGUCCUCAAGGCUCAACAACAUCUUGUAUACUCUUGGUAAGAAAUACAAUGGAUAGUGGUCACCCAAAAUACCACUUCCCUUUUUGCCACCCAGCUUAAAACAACAUAACACCUCCACCAAAAUGGCAGUAAUAUCUGAAUGGAAACGAGGCUAGUCUGAAAACUUUCUAUAAUAUUCAUUUAUCGUCAACUUCCUUGAUUCACAUUUGCAAACUAUUGCUUACUACCAUCGAUAAAUGCCGGAGGGAUAAACUUUUCCUUAAACAAGUCCUUAAACAAUUCUCAAUCGACUGUUCCUCCGGUGACAACAAAUCAUACUCAUGUUUCCACCAGGAUACAAAUUCAUAACCAAAACCAGGUAGUCGUCUCGACCCCUUGUCAGAAGGAAAUUUCAUUUGACUUGCAUAAUCUGAAACAUCUUUUCCAAAUGGUUAAACCGUUACUUCGCUCCCUCAGGUUCAUCAUUUCAUAAGGUGAUUCAAAUUCGACUCAUAUGCCGUCUUAAAAUGUCCCUUUUUGAUAAUAUACUGAAUCACCAUAAUAAUAGUUUCCCCCAAAACCGCUAAAUUAGGGAGACUAAGUUCCUCUAACUACGUGGUUUGCUACGAGGCGGUGUAGUUCUGACAGAAUUCACUAGAACUUCUCAAAAUGUCCAAGAUUGCAACCAUGCUCUGAUACCAACUGACACACCCCGUCCCGAAGGAGGGCAUGCUGGCCGUCACGUGGGAGUGACGUAACCAUUUACACAGUACGGAAGCUUUAAAUUUACAACUCCUAAGAUGAUACACCCGAAGGUGAGUCCUAAUUUGAUCCAUUCUGUCAGAAUCCCGCUGAAUUCCUCGUAGCCACCACACCUCAGCUAUUCUUUAACCUGGAGGGGCGCAAAACCAAAAUUGAGUGGGUCAGUAAAACAAUUCUUUUCCAAAUUCAACAUUUCUCAAAACGUUGUAACCCCUCUCCGUAAAACCUGUAUACUUUCCCAGAAAUGUAAAAUAUAAAUAUACAUAUAUAUUCUCAAUACUUCAAUUCAUUAACUCAACAUUUUUUUUUUUAUCAAUCAUGCCAUGCCAUGUCUAAAUUCAACAGUAUAAUAUGAAUGCAUCAACAUAAAUCAGGUGAAAGAAAAUAAUCAACCGGAGACCCUACAAUGGUCCUGUACGGUUGAAUCUAGAGCUCAAAAUAUCAUCUAACCGGAGUCACCAACUGUGACCUGUACGGCCAUGCCGGAGUCACCUAGUAUGACCUGUACGGCACUACACUGCACAUAAGUCGGAAUUACCUAAUGUAAUCUGUACGACUUAAUGGUGUAAUAAUAUGCUCUAGUGCUUUUCUCAUCAAUCAUCUGUGCACAUAAUCUAAGGUCACCUACCAGUCGGAACCCCUCUAACGGUCUGUACGACUGGCAUGUCGGAACCACCCCCGGUGGUCUGUACGACUAGCAUCUACUUGGAUCCAAGGUGAGCAUACGAUGCAGGGUGAAUAAUAUAAGCACUAAUACCAAGGUGCAGUUUAUGAGCUCAACAUCAUCAUAACAGUAAUAAUAUUCACCUGUGCGUCCACCGCACCAUUUCACAUAUAUGCAUCAUACAACAAUUCAUAAUAUUCAUGAAAUUCUAUGCAUGGCAACCAACUAUAUUCCAUAUCACAAUUCAACAUACUUUUCAUUUAAAGCAUAAUUUCAUGCAUUUUCAAUUU
rnacentral:lncRNA from 1 species